rnacentral:rRNA from 1 species
CGCCAGACUCCUACGGGAGGCAGCAGUGGGGAAUAUUGGACAAUGGGGGGAACCCUGAUCCAGCGACGCCGCGUGAGUAAAGAAGUAUUUCGGUAUGUAAAGCCCUAUCGGCAGGGAAGAAGGAGGACGGUACCUGACUAAGAAGCCCCGGCUAACUACGUGCCAGCAGCCGCGGGAAUACGUAGGGGGCAAGGGUUAUCCGGAUUUACUGGGUGUAAAGGGGGCGCAGACGGCAGCGCAAGCCAGGAGUGAAAGCCCGGGGCCCAACCCCGGGACUGCUCUUGGAACUGCGCGGCUGGAGUGCAGGAGGGGCAGGCGGAAUUCCUGGUGUAGCGGUGAAAUGCGUAGAUAUCAGGAGGAACACCGGUGGCGAAGGCGGCCUGCUGGACUGCGACUGACGUUGAGGCCCGAAAGCGUGGGGAGCAAACAGGAUUAGAUACCCCGGUA